rnacentral:rRNA from 1 species
GACGUAGGGCGCGAGCGUUUGUCCGGAUUUAUUGGGCGUAAAGAGCUCGUAGGCGGCUUGUCGCGUCGUCCGUGAAAACUUGGGGCUCAACCCCAAGCUUGCGGUCGAUACGGGCAGGCUAGAGUUCGGUAGGGGAGACUGGAAUUCCUGGUGUAGCGGUGAAAUGCGCAGAUAUCAGGAGGAACACCGGUGGCGAAGGCGGGACUCUGGGCCGAUACUGACGCUGAGGAGCGAAAGCGUGGGGAGCAAACAGG